AAAGAAAAAUUAUGGUUGGAAUACUCAAGUUUGUUAGUGUCGUGAUUCUAUUUCUUUUCUUAUUUCUUGUUACAAUAGAAGCUGAUGAUAGUAAGUUAUCUUUUUUAUCAUGUAUUGAUUUUUUUUACUUUGUCGUUCGUAACAUUUUUGCUCAGUUUUAAUAACAUUAUUUAUUUUUUUUUCAUGCCAGACAUUCAAAAUGUGAGACAGAUGAUGAUUGCCCAAAAAAUCUAUAUCCG
rnacentral:lncRNA from 1 species